rnacentral:rRNA from 1 species
CCCCAGGUCAGGCGGGACUACCCGCGAGUUUAAGCAUAUCAAUAAGC